rnacentral:lncRNA from 1 species
UUGUCUCUUUACUUAUGGAAUUUGUUAUUUCUCCUUCAUUUUCUAAAGGUUUUUUCAAGGCUUUAACAGAAGUUUGGGUAUAAUUAUUAAGAAUCACUAUAGUAUAAGCACAGUCUAGAAACCAAUUAAAUUUUCUCUGUGUUACAUAUCAAUUUGGUAAGGACUAUGUAAUUCCUGCCAUGAGGUGGAAAUACUGGAUUCUUCUCUUGGCCCUAAGUUUCGUUUAUUGACCUGUUGUUGGUCCAUCUCUCUAGAACUCUCGGCUGAGCUUCAGGCCUUACAUUCAUAUCUGACUUCAGCGAUUUGUCUUCUUGUCUCAAUAAGUGUAAGAAGUGGGUAGAGGAUGGAAAGGGAGAAGAAAGGAUUAAAGUUAAGCCUGAAUGUUUCAUUCUCCACCUUAACAUGACCGCAUCUACUAAUAGCCAAUAAAAUGAAUUGGCCUCUCUACUGGGCUGCUUGACCUUCCUCAUGACAUGGCAGUUGGUUUUUCCCAGAGCAGAUAAGAACAACCAUGAUUCAAUAUGUGAGUAGGCUAUACAGGAGACAGGAACCAUUGGGAGCCAUUUUGAACACUCUCUACUACAGGAUCAAAAGCAAAUAAUUACAAAACAGUACAUCAAUGCAACAAUGGCAUUAUAUGUAAGCAUUAAUAUAGAAUUUUGGAGGGAAAUCACGAGAAAACUGAAGACAUCUGUCCACCAAGAAAAGCACAAAAGCUAUAAACUGAAGAUAGAUAUAUUUUCAACUAACUGCAGUCUUCAAGUAAGCAGCUGUUAUUUUAAAAAGCAGAAGUAGAGAUACAGAGCACUACGAUCUCAAAUAGAAUUGAGAUUUAAAAUUAUGCAUAAGGAAUUAACAUACUUUAAUCCUAAAGAAAGAGAAAAAAUAUAUUAAAGGUCAUCGUGACUAGAACCUUUAAUUGGCAAAAAGCUUGUAUUCACACAUCUUAUCAGAUGAUUUCCAUUUGUGAGCCAUUCUUGAUUCUAAUUCUCAUUUCAUUAUAACAAAGUUAUAACAAAAAGGAAAACUACCACAUUUCAGCAAAUCAAAAGAUAACCUCAAAUAUCUCCUUCACCUCCAUCCUUCAAUUGUUGCUUGAAGGAAUUGUACACCCAAAAGCACAUAUACACACACUAAUAUAAGUACCACUAAAUGCCAUGCAGUAUCAUCUAUGAGGGAAACACUGCCACUCAAAUACACAGAGUUGUAAAUAUUCUCAUUUAUAUUUUUGUCAUUUUAUAAACAUUUCUGAUAUUAGCAUCAAGAAAACAAAGGAACAAAAAUAACAGUUUCUAAAUAAAAUAAAAAAGUGUAAACUUAGAAUGUCUAUGAUUUAACAAAUAAAAAUUUUUCUCUUCCUCCCUCUCUCCUUCCUUCCCUCCCUUCCUCCCUCCUUCCUUCCUUUUCUUUCCCUCUUUCUCUUUCUUUCUUUUUCUUUCCCUUUCUUUCAUCUGUCUUGCAAAUACUCUUCUUAUCCCUGAUCUAUUCAUGUGUUCUCACCUGGGAAGAACAAAGCUUUACCUUUAUAUUACAACAGCUAAAAUAGUUCACAGGAAAUUAACUGAAGUUCCUUGGAAAUUUUUCAUGUUCAAAUACUUCAACUUUGUGUUCAGAUAUUCUAUUUACUGCCUUGGGCACUGUUAUUUACCCAUUCUGAAUUAGGUUGCUUCAUCUAUUUAAUGGGAAUAAAAUAACAAUACCUAGAGAUGGCAGUUGUGAAUCAUACAAGUUUUUGUAGAUCUUCUUAGUAUAAGAUUAAUAAUUCUGUUUUAAACACAUUAUCCAAAGUUGCAACAAAAAAUAUGACUAGAAUGCAUUCUCCAGUUGUAAAUUUGGCAAUCAACUCUGAAGGGUUGUGUUCAAAAAGAAAAUCCAUGAAUGUCAGUUAUGUAUGUAUGUUUGGAUAAUAGAGAUGAUGUAUAAAAUAUAUCUAAUGCAAACCAAGCAAACUUUUAAUUUUUAUGUCAGCACAAAUAACUCCCUAUUGUAAACAAGAGUUACCUUCUAUAGUCAGUAAACAAGAAAGGUUGACAUAUUUUUAAAUCUAAUAAAUAAAUAAAAUAUCUAAUGCAAUGUUAAGCAUAUAUUAGUUGGUCAAUAUUGUUUGUAAACUUGAAUUUAAAACUCUUCAUAGAAUCAUGUGUUCUAACAUCUUACUCUCUCAAGGAAUUCCUACUACAACCUCAGUGCAUUUAAGUACAUGUAUGUAGUGGGAAGCUCAUUUUCUUAAGACAGAGGCUGUUGCAUUAUUAGACAAUUCUAAUUGCUGAUACAUUCUAUCUUAAGUUGAAUUCAAAUAUAUGUUUCAAUAAUUUACACUCAUGAGAUCUAUUAAUUCCCUGUGGAGAAACAGACAACAUAUUUAUUUUCUCUACAAUAGUAGUCCUUUAAAUAUUUGAAGACAACAUCCAUCUCUCUAGCUAUUCCUUCACGUUUUACAAGAUUUUAAAAUACAUUACUUUUUUAUUUUUUAGUGUGUAGUCAAUUUUAAUUUUUGUUGUGAACAGAUAUAUAUUGCUACAGUGAUUUGUUAAGGGAAAAAAGAAGAAAAAUAAUAAUGUAAAGUGUGAAAAAAAAAAGUGCUGGUGUCCUCAUUAAAAUGUGAUUAAAUGUUUAAACUUCCAGUACAUUAACACUGACAUUUUGUCUUUUAAACAGUGUCAGGUAAUGAAGGUCAACACAAGCAAGCGUUCUGUUUCUGGCCCUUAGUUAGAAGCACACUGUACUUGGACUUCACAGCAGGGAACUGUCAGGCACGGUUCUCCUCUGUGCUGCUUCUCUCUAAGUACUAGCUUGCAGCUGGCUCCAGCACAUGGUAGUGUAUGGAGAUAUUUUCUGGGGUCCACUGCUUCAAUCACUAUUUAAUGAUUAAUUACUGCAGUCUGAUGCCAGGGUGAGACAUUCAAUGCUUCAGGUAAAAAUCUUAACUAUAGAAAAUGACAGCAGGCAGGGUUUUGAAAGCUGAGUUGACUUUGUAUUUCUUCUGAAGAAUUUACCCGAUUUUUCUAUCCACUUGUAAGGAGUGAGGUGAAAAAAGACAAAAUUGUCAAGUAGCAAACGCCAACCAACAAUGACAGGGGUGGUAUUCAGCAGAAUAGUCUAUGAUUGUCACUCACAAUGAGAAUAGUGCAGACAGAUAGACAAUAACUAACUCUCUACUGGAAACCAAGCAAACAACUUUCAAUUGACAUUCGGGAUAUAAUGGCUCUGAGCUGUGAAAAGAGUCUUCUGACAAUGUGCCUUGUAAGCAAAUAAGGGUGAGAUACGUUUUCUACCAAUGUAUGUUUUUGAACUCCCUGUACCCUGAAGUAUGAGGGGAACAUAUUCUUUAUGAUAUAUAAUAUUUAGUGGUAAAAUAAAUAGUUUGGUAAAAAGACUACCCUAAUAUUAAAGUAGUAUAAUUGUCUAUUUUUAUUUCUCAGUAAUUGCCUGUAACUUUGAACCAUUUAUAUUGAAAGAAAUUUUAGUUUAAAAAUAAUGCAGCAAUAUGACAGCUAAUACUGACAUGAAUCAUGCAAGUUGAAAGAGGAACUUUGUAUUCUGAUAAAUUUGGAUAAUUUAAAAUAAUCCAGUAAUUAUUAAAAUGUUCACUAAUUAAUCUUUUUUGUUCAUAAAUUUUAACUAUUUCUGGUUUUCUACAAAACCAGUAACAGCUUUCUUUUCAUAUAAUAUGUGUUUUUCUUCAGUAUAGUUACCUUGAAACAAGCUCAAAAUACUUUUAAGCAACAAGAAAUAUUUUUAAAAAUUGCCAAGUAACUAUUAUUCAAUGAUAUUGGACGUUAUCCUUUGCAUGUGGCUUGGUAAUGGAUAAAGAGAUAAUUAGAAUGUUUUAAGGAUAUAAAAGCAAUUUAUGCAGAUAGGAAUACAAUACCUAUUUGUUUAAUAGAUUCUAGAUCACCCAUCUAUAAA